CCUACGGGUGGCAGCAGUGGGGAAUAUUGGGCAAUGGCGGCAACUCUGACCCAGCAACGCCGCGUGAAUGAUGAAGGUCUUCGGAUUGUAAAGUUCUUUUCUAAGGGAAGAAGAAAGUGACGGUACCUUCGGAAUAAGCCUCGGCUAACUACGUGCCAGCAGCCGCGGGAAUACGUAGGAGGCAAGCGUUAUCCGGAGUGACAGGUCGUACAGGGUGCGUAGGUGGCUUGAUAAGUUGGUAGCGUAACGGCGGAGGUUAACUUCGAACCUACCACCAAAACUGUUGGCCUCGAGUGCAGGAGAGGCAACUGGAAUGUGUAGUGUAGCGGUGGAAUGCGUAGAUAUUAGGAAGAACACCGGUGGCGAAGGCGAGUUGCUGGACUGUAACUGACACUGAGGCACGAAAGCGUGGGGAGCAAACAGGAUUAGAUACCCCAGUAGUC
rnacentral:rRNA from 1 species